UACGUAGGGGGCAAGCGUUGUCCGGAUUUAUUGGGCGUAAAGAGCGUGUAGGCGGUCUGGUAGGUCCGCUGUGAAAACUCGAGACUCAACCUCGAGACGCCGGUGGAAACCAUCAGACUAGAGUCCGGAAGAGGAGAGUGGAAUUCCUGGUGUAGCGGUGAAAUGCGGCAGAUAUCAGGAAGAACACCCGUGGCUAAGGCGGCUCUCUAGUACGGUACUGACGCUGAGACGCGAAAGCGUGGGGAGCGAACAGG
rnacentral:rRNA from 1 species